rnacentral:rRNA from 1 species
CUACAGGCUUAACACAUGCAAGUCGAGGGGCAGCAUGGUCUUAGCUUGCUAAGACUGAUGGCGACCGGCGCACGGGUGAGUAACACGUAUCCAACCUGCCGUCUACUCUUGGACAGCCUUCUGAAAGGAAGAUUAAUACAAGAUGGCAUCAUGAGUCCGCAUGUUCACAUGAUUAAAGGUAUUCCGGUAGACGAUGGGGAUGCGUUCCAUUAGAUAGUAGGCGGGGUAACGGCCCACCUAGUCUUCGAUGGAUAGGGGUUCUGAGAGGAAGGUCCCCCACAUUGGAACUGAGACACGGUCCAAACUCCUACGGGAGGCAGCAGUGAGGAAUAUUGGUCAAUGGGCGAGAGCCUGAACCAGCCAAGUAGCGUGAAGGAUGACUGCCCUAUGGGUUGUAAACUUCUUUUAUAAAGGAAUAAAGUCGGGUAUGCAUACCCGUUUGCAUGUACUUUAUGAAUAAGGAUCGGCUAACUCCAUGCCAGCAGCCGCGGUAAUACGGAGGAUCCGAGCGUUAUCCGGAUUUAUUGGGUUUAAAGGGAGCGUAGAUGGAUGUUUAAGUCAGUUGUGAAAGUUUGCGGCUCAACCGUAAAAUUGCAGUUGAUACUGGAUAUCUUGAGUGCAGUUGAGGCAGGCGGAAUUCGUGGUGUAGCGGUGAAAUGCUUAGAUAUCACGAAGAACUCCGAUUGCGAAGGCAGCCUGCUAAGCUGCAACUGACAUUGAGGCUCGAAAGUGUGGGUAUCAAACAGGAUUAGAUACCCUGGUAGUCCACACGGUAAACGAUGAAUACUCGCUGUUUGCGAUAUACAGCAAGCGGCCAAGCGAAAGCGUUAAGUAUUCCACCUGGGGAGUGCGCCGGCAACGGUGAAACUCAAAGGAAUUGACGGGGGCCCGCACAAGCGGAGGAACAUGUGGUUUAAUUCGAUGAUACGCGAGGAACCUUACCCGGGCUUAAAUUGCAGAUGAAUUACGGUGAAAGCCGUAAGCCGCAAGGCAUCUGUGAAGGUGCUGCAUGGUUGUCGUCAGCUCGUGCCGUGAGGUGUCGGCUUAAGUGCCAUAACGAGCGCAACCCUUGUUGUCAGUUACUAACAGGUUCCGCUGAGGACUCUGACAAGACUGCCAUCGUAAGAUGUGAGGAAGGUGGGGAUGACGUCAAAUCAGCACGGCCCUUACGUCCGGGGCUACACACGUGUUACAAUGGGGGGUACAGAGGGCCGCUACCACGCGAGUGGAUGCCAAUCCCCAAAACCUCUCUCAGUUCGGACUGGAGUCUGCAACCCGACUCCACGAAGCUGGAUUCGCUAGUAAUCGCGCAUCAGCCACGGCGCGGUGAAUACGUUCCCGGGCCUUGUACACACCGCCCGUCAAGCCAUGGGAGCCGGGGGUACCUGAAGUGCGUAACCGCGAGGAGCGCCCUAGGGUAAAACUGGUGACUGGGGCU